GUGUCAAUAACCUUGGACUAAAUAAAAGUUUGCCAGAUUAUGAGAUCAUCUGAUGUAACUGCCUGUUGUUAGGAGUUAUUAUGUAUUGGUUAUAUUACUGUGAUCUAUGCAAUACAAUAACAGUCGCAAUACAUGUAAUGCUUAGUUGAAAAACUGACGAGUACAUCCUCCUUUGUUUGUCAAUAUUAUCACGUAAGCUAGGUUAUAUGCACUCAUUUGUAAUAAUCAUAUCUUGUACCAGG
rnacentral:lncRNA from 1 species